AAGCACAGACAGGCGGUUGGCAUCUUCUUCAAAGGAAUUCCUAGUGCUGAGGAAAGCCAAGAGACAACCAUCUUUCUGGAUUCUUCUUUCUUGUCUCUUGCU
rnacentral:rRNA from 1 species